AGCUUCGAUAUUCACAAUCUGUUGAAUGAAGGGCUGCUGGUUUGGGUCAGUCCUUGAGGACUUGGGCAGCCCUAGAGGACUUGCACAUUAACCCUUCCAGCCUCUACCCCACAGAUGCUCUGUCCAAGCAGGGAGAGGUAUACUGGCACAUCCUCAUCCUUGACAUGGGGAGUGGACCGGUCUGAUCUAACUGGUACAACUCUGCUGCAGCAUUCAGACCUUCAGCCAGCCCCAGGCAGCUUACCCAGGAGUGUAGCAGUAAUCCACUCCAUCCCAAAGCAGGACUGUGUACAUCGGAUAUAUGGGCAUACAAGAUUCGAAAACCAAGACCUUAACCAUAAAUGAGCCAGGUUUGAAUAUCAUCCACCCUCCUGUUCCUGAAAAAUAAGGAAGACAUCAGAAAAAAAAAAAUGAAAGAAAAAAAAACGCUCUUCAGGUAAGAACCUUGUAAACAGCGUUAUCUCCACCGUCAGAGCAGACCACAUGCACAUAAAAGGAUGUGUUAUCAAAAAUAUCUAUAAUGGUGACCUUAAAAAGGUACAAGAAGUGCUAAUGAAUUUCUUGUUAUUUUAGAAAGGGACUUUCUUCUCCGUUGGUGCGGAGAGCUUCCUGAAGCAAAAACAAAUGAAGCUCUUCUCUCUUUUUUUUUUUUAAUAUAAGUUAGAAAACUUUUUUGACUAAGUUUCUGCUCAGUUGUUUUCUAGCUAUUCAGAAUUAGGAGAUGACGCUCCAAAUGAAGACUUUUAAUGUACUGCCCUUGCUCGAAGGCUGCAUGACGUUAAGCAGGAGAACAUAGAGACACCCCUGUAGUUACAAUCAAGAUAGUUAUAAAAAAAAUAUUGUUAUGAGCAGUUCACUGGGGUUGGGCAGACAGAAGGUGAAGUGCCUUCCCCAGGCUACUUUUAGGGUUGGUGAAGGAACCAACACUAGCAUGAGGUGCUCUUAGCCAUCUCCUCUGGGCUUAUCUUUUUGAUGCGUAUUCCUGCAGUGGCAGGUCUUUCUCAACAAACUGUCCCUCUGUUAGCUCAUCUGGUUGCUCAGUUACGUUUGUUGGUUAUGAUUUCUCAUUUUCAAGGCCCUUGUUGAAUGCUGGCUGUUGUUUGGAUGGAGCCUGCCAAGGGCAGAGCCAAGCUCUCCCACCAAAGGUUGCUCAUGGCAGUGCUGGUGGCAAUGAGUCAGUACCAGCACCUCUGCCGUGACAACGUCACUUUUUGGGGAGGGUGAGAAGCUGAGGCUUGGUUGUGCAUGGCUGUUUGGGAUGCCACGGCAACCUGAGUGCAAACCCAAUCGCUUUACAACAGGUGUGGUUACCUCCUCCCUCCUGAAACCCAAAGGAGAAUAUUUU
rnacentral:lncRNA from 1 species